rnacentral:rRNA from 1 species
UAUCCAUGAUUUAGCUUUUAAAGCCUUCGGGCGCUGAGGGAUUGGGAUAUGCUCUAUUAGCUAGUUGGCGGGAUAAAAGCCCACCAAGGCAAUGAUAGAUAGCUGGUCUUAGAGGAUGAACAGCCACAAUGGGAUUGAGAUACGGCCCAUAUUCCUACGGGAAGCAGCAGUAGGGAAUCUUCCACAAUGGACGAAAGUCUGAUGGAGCAAUACCAUGUGAACGAUGAAGGCCUUUUUGGUUGUAAAGUUCUUUUACGAGGGAUAAUUAUGAUAGUACUUCGUGAAUAAGUGACAGCAAACUAUGUGCCAGCAGCUGCGGUAAUACAUAGGUCGCGAGCAUUAUUCGGAUUUAUUGGGCGUAAAGCAAGCGCAGGCGGAUGUGUAAGUUCUGUGUUAAAUGCAGCUACUCAAUAGUUGUAUGCACCGAAUACUACAUGUCUAGAUUGUGGUAGGGAGUUUCGGAAUUAAGCAUGGAGCGGUGGAAUGUGUAGAUAUGCUUAAGAACACCAGAGGCGAAGGCGGAAACUUAGGCCAUAAAUGACGCUUAGGCUUGAAAGUGUGGGGAGCAAAUGGGAUUAGAUACCCCAGUAGUCCACACCGUAAACGAUGGGUAUUAGAUAUUAGGGUUUUAGCUUUAGUGUUGUAGCUUACGCGUUAAAUACCCCGCCUGGGUAGUACAUAUGCAAAUAUGAAACUCAAAGGAAUUGACGGGGACCUGAACAAGUGGUGGAGCAUGUUGCUUAAUUCGAUAAUACACGAAAAACCUUACCAAGGUUUGACAUCCCUCGCAAAGCUAUAGAAAUAUAGUAGAGGUUAUCGGGGUGACAGGUGGUGCAUGGCUGUCGUCAGCUCGUGUCUUGAGAUGUUUGGUUAAGUCCCGCAACGAGCGCAACCCCACUCUUUAGUUACUUGUCUAAAGAGACUGCACAGUAAUGUAGAGGAAGGAU